rnacentral:rRNA from 1 species
GUACGGCGAGUGAAGAGGGAAAAGCUCAAAGUUGGAACCUGGUAGGCAUAGCUUACCCGGAUUGUAAACUAAAGUUUUCGAGUCGUUUAGUCAGCCAGGUAAAUAAGUCCUCUGGAAAGGGGCGACAUAGAGGGUGAAAUCCCCGUCUUUGGCCUGAGUUUUGAUUAGGCGUUUGGCUUGGAAACGAAGAGUCAGGUUGUUUGGGAAUGCAGCCUAAAAUGGGAGGUAAAUCUCUCCUAAAGCUAAAUAUUGACGAAAGACCGAUAGCGAACAAGUACCGUGAGGGAAAGAUGAAAAGCACUUUGAAAAGAGGGUCAAAAAGUACGUGAAAUUGCUGAAAGGGAACCGUAUGAAAUCAGACCUACUGGUAGGUAAUCAAUCUUUCCUUUGGGAAGGAUGCACUUGCCUACUAUGUAUGCCAGCGACAUUUUGGUUGGGAGGAAAAAAAUAAAGGAAAUGUAGCUUAGGUUUCGGCUUAGGUGUUAUAGUCCUUUAUAAAAUACUCUCGGCUGGAAUGAGGAACGCAGCAAACCGUAAGGCGAAGAUUUCAGGCGCUUAGAGGGAAUAAUUAGAGAAUUUCUGCUUCGGGUGGUGCUUUGAUUAUUACCUUUAACACGCUUGGAGUUCUUUUAAUUU